AGAGUAUAGCUCAGUGGUAGAGUGCAUGCUUAGGAUGCUGGAGGUCCUGGGUUCAAUCCCCAGUAUCUCUG
rnacentral:tRNA from 1 species